rnacentral:lncRNA from 1 species
GCCCUUCCAGCCAGCGCUUCGGCGCGUCCUCUCGGGGACAAGCUCUUCCGUGGGCUCCGCAGAGGUGGAGACCAUACUAAAAUGGCUCUGCCUGGUAAACUGCAGUUUCAGCCGCGUACCCCUCCCCUCGUCCUCCUGACGUCGCCGCUGACAAGGGCACAAUCCUCUCCAACUCCCGAAACCCACGAUUUUGCACCGGGCCGUGCGGUGGACGCGAGUAUACAGUCGAUUACAAAGAACAUUCCACAGGAUUCUCGAAGGGCCCAAGUUUUCUUUUUUUGUGGGUAGGAGCGGGAGGAGGGAGGAACUGAGACGCUGCAGGAGCCCAGCCGACUACCGCCCCAGCACCGAGGGGGUUUGGGGUGCUCCAGCGGUUGGGGCUGGAGACUUUUAGGGAUAAAAAUACGAGGGGAAGUGAAUGGUCGCCAUGCGGAGCGAUGGCCACUGCUCGUCCUUGAUUGCGUUUUCAGUGUCCAACAGUCCAGAGACGACGCCAGGAAGCCUGGGAGACCAUUCCCAAACUUCUGGAGACCUGCUCGCAGUUUCGCUUUCGGAAUUUUCGGGAUCUGUGGGUUUCUAGAGUUGGGUGGCAUUCCGGGAAGGCAAGGCGACGUUCGCUGCCCCGUCGUGCGGUCCUCGGACUUCUCGCCCAUCCCUGCGCCCCCUUGCUUCGCCUGCCUUAUCUCGCCGCGCAGUGUGAGGGUUUGGACUCCCCGGCCAGCGCGCCGCCCCCCGCGCCGCAUUCGGAGGGCUCCAGCCGCGCAGCCGCGGCGGAUCCGGAGCCGAGUGGUGGGAAACCGUUUUCAACGAGGGCCGGCAUCGCUUGGAUCCGGAACCAUCACCGCAGCCCACCGCUCUCCCACACCCCUCCGCCCUUGCACGGUAGCCAAGGGACUUGGGGGGACCGAUUGGCGUGUCUACACGGAGUGAAUGGAUCCAGGUUCCACCAGGUCGGAGGAAAAGCGUAAACAGGCUCAGAAAUUCGGCCUCAUUUCCUGGGGAGGCGGUUGGGGGUGGGGAGAGAGACUGAGCGGGUAAGCGGGAGGAGGAGGGAGAGGGAAGAGACCUUGGUGGUCAGAAGGAAUUGUUGGCCAGGCUCUCUUUUGAGAUAGGGGAUCUGCUACUUUUUCCCUACUAGGCAUUAAAUUUGCACACACACACUGCUUCCUGCCAUAAAUAAAUACCGUCGCAGAUCUUUAUCUUAGCCCGUUUGCUGGGACCAAGCCUCCUGCCAGCGAGGGGGGCUGGAGAAAUGCCUGCGCACCCUAAGACUCCAGGCCCUCUCCCGAAGUUACUGCUCCCUAAAGGAC